GUGCCAACUGGGACCAGAGGAGUGCCAACCUGGGACCGCAGGAGCCCUUCUGGCGAGAUUCAUCACACACAGUGUGCACAGCAUCCUCCUGACUAACAGG